rnacentral:rRNA from 1 species
GACGUUAGCGGCGGACGGGUGAGUAACACGUGGGUAACCUACCUAUAAGACUGGGACAACUUCGGGAAACCGGAGCUAAUACCGGAUAAUAUGUUGAACCGCAUGGUUCAAUAGUGAAAGAUGGUUUUGCUAUCACUUAUAGAUGGACCCGCGCCGUAUUAGCUAGUUGGUGAGGUAACGGCUCACCAAGGCAACGAUACGUAGCCGACCUGAGAGGGUGAUCGGCCACACUGGAACUGAGACACGGUCCAGACUCCUACGGGAGGCAGCAGUAGGGAAUCUUCCGCAAUGGGCGAAAGCCUGACGGAGCAACGCCGCGUGAGUGAUGAAGGUCUUAGGAUCGUAAAACUCUGUUAUUAGGGAAGAACAAACGUGUAAGUAACUGUGCACGUCUUGACGGUACCUAAUCAGAAAGCCACGGCUAACUACGUGCCAGCAGCCGCGGUAAUACGUAGGUGGCAAGCGUUAUCCGGAAUUAUUGGGCGUAAAGCGCGCGUAGGCGGUUUUUUAAGUCUGAUGUGAAAGCCCACGGCUCAACCGUGGAGGGUCAUUGGAAACUGGAAAACUUGAGUGCAGAAGAGGAAAGUGGAAUUCCAUGUGUAGCGGUGAAAUGCGCAGAGAUAUGGAGGAACACCAGUGGCGAAGGCGACGUUUCUGGUCUGUAACUGACGCGUGAUGUGCGAAAGCGUGGGGAUCAAACAGGAGUUAGAUACCCUGGUAGUCCACGCCGUAAACGAUGAGUGCUAAGUGUUAGGGGUU